rnacentral:SRP_RNA from 1 species
UUAAUACGCCAUUACAACAUUGGUUUCGAAUUGUGUCAGGUCAGAAAUGAAGCAGCACUAAGAUAUAACUGAUGUGUGUAGUGGCUUUUUUAAUGUA